GGCCCGCACAAGCGGUGGAGCAUGUGGUUUAAUUCGAUGAUACGCGAGGAACCUUACCUGGGCUUAAAUGCAGAACGACAGACGUGGAAACAUGUCCUUCUUCGGACGUUUUGCAAGGUGCUGCAUGGUUGUCGUCAGCUCGUGCCGUGAGGUGUCAGGUUAAGUCCUAUAACGAGCGCAACCCCUGUCGUUAGUUGCCAGCAUGUCAUGAUGGGGACUCUAACGAGACUGCCGGUGCAAACCGCGAGGAAGGUGGGGAUGACGUCAAAUCAUCACGGCCCUUACGUCCUGGGCCACACACGUGCUACAAUGGCCGGUACAGAGAGCAGCCACGUCGCAAGGCGGAGCGAAUCUAUAAAACCGGUCACAGUUCGGAUCGGAGUCUGCAACUCGACUCCGUGAAGCUGGA
rnacentral:rRNA from 1 species